CCCUUAGAUGUUCUGGGCCGCACGCGCGCUACACUGAAGGGAUCAGCGUGUUUUCCCUUUCCGAGAGGAACGGGUAACCCGCUGAACCCCCUUCGUGGUAGGGAUCGGAGCUUGCAAUUGUUCUCUGUGAACCAGGAAUUCCCAGUAAGCGCAAGUCAUAAGCUUGCGUUGAUUACGUCCCUGCCCUUUGUACACACCGCCCGUCGCUACUACCGAUUGAACGUUUUAGUGAGGUAUUUGGACUGGGCCUUGGGAGGUUUCGGCCUCCCUUGUUGCUCGGAAAGACUCCCAAACUUGAGCGUUUAGAGGAAGUAAAAGUCGUAACA
rnacentral:rRNA from 1 species